rnacentral:rRNA from 1 species
UACGGGGGGGGGCAAGCGUUGUUCGGAAUUACUGGGCGUAAAGGGCGCGUAGGCGGCCUGUUAAGUCGAACGUGAAAUCCCCGGGCUCAACCCGGGAACUGCGUCCGAUACUGGCAGGCUUGAAUUCGGGAGAGGGAUGCGGAAUUCCAGGUGUAGCGGUGAAAUGCGUAGAUAUCUGGAGGAACACCGGUGGCGAAGGCGGCAUCCUGGACCGAGAUUGACGCUGAGGCG